rnacentral:rRNA from 1 species
UGGGGUAUUUUGGACAAUGGGCGAAAGCCUGAUCCAGCCAUGCCGCGUGAGUGAAGAAGGCCUUCGGGUUGUAAAGCUCUUUUAGUCGGAAAGAAAGAGUUGCAAUGAAUAAUUGUGAUUUAUGACGGUACCGACAGAAAAAGCACCGGCUAACUACGUGCCAGCAGCCGCGGUAAUACGUAGGGUGCGAGCGUUAAUCGGAAUUACUGGGCGUAAAGGGUGCGCAGGCGGUCUUGCAAGUCAGAUGUGAAAGCCCCGGGCUUAACCUGGGAAUUGCGUUUGAAACUACAAGGCUAGAGUGCAGCAGAGGGGAGUGGAAUUCCAUGUGUAGCAGUGAAAUGCGUAGAGAUGUGGAAGAACACCGAUGGCGAAGGCAGCUCCCUGGGUUGACACUGACGCUCAUGCACGAAAGCGUGGGGAGCAAACA